AGGGGGGGCAAGCGUUGUUCGGAAUUACUGGGCGUAAAGGGUCUGUAGGUGGCUUGCUAAGUCAGACGUGAAAUCCCUCAGCUUAACUGGGGAACUGCGUCUGAUACUGGCAAGCUUGAGUGCAGGAGAGGAACGCGGAAUUCCAGGUGUAGCGGUGAAAUGCGUAGAUAUCAGGAGGAACACCGGUGGCGAAGGCGCACAUCUGGCCCGAUACUGACGCUGAGGCGCGAAAGCUAGGGGAGCAAACGGGAUUAGAUACCCCGGUAGUCCUAGCCGUAAACGGUGAUCACUAGGUGUUGGAGGCAUUGACCCCUCCAGUGCCGCAGCUAACGCAUUAAGUGAUCCGCCUGGGGAGUACGGCCGCMAGGUUG
rnacentral:rRNA from 1 species